rnacentral:rRNA from 1 species
GAUGAACGCUAGCGGCAGGCCUAAUACAUGCAAGUCGAGGGGUAUGGGUUGCUUGCAACCCAGAGACCGGCGCACGGGUGCGUAACGCGUAUGCAAGCUACCUUAAUCAGGGGGAUAGCCCGGAGAAAUCCGGAUUAACACCGCAUAACAUUGAGUUGUGGCAUCACAGUUCAAUCAAAUAUUUAUAGGAUUAAGAUGAGCAUGCGUGACAUUAGUUAGUUGUUGAGGUAAUGGCUGACCAAGACCACGAUGUCUAGGGGAUCUGAGAGGAUGACCCCCCACACUGGUACUGAGACACGGACCAGACUCCUACGGGCGGCAGCAGUAAGGAAUAUUGGUCAAUGGGCGCAAGCCUGAACCAGCCAUGCCGCGUGCAGGAAGACGGCCCUAUGGGUUGUAAACUGCUUUUGUACCGGAAUAAACCUUCUCUCGCGAGAGAAGCUGAACGUACGGUAAGAAUAAGGAUCGGCUAACUCCGUG